UCACAAUUUGGAGAAAGACUAGGUUGAAAAAACUCAGUUGACACUGGGGGUACAAUUCCCAUUUGUCCAGGGUGAACUUGAGAGACCGGCGAAACGAUUUAAAACCAAAUGCGAGAUAAGAAAUCUUUGCAGCUUUAUUUUACUUUUUUUUUUCUUGUCUUCAGGUUAUAAUUGGCACUCACGCUGUAAUGGCAGAUGGCGGGUUACGUUCCAUCGUUGGUUCCCAUGCUCUCGCACUUGCUGCAAAGCACCACUCAGUUCCGCUAAUCGUGUGUGCGGCCAUGUAUAAGCUUACACCACAGUAUAUCGUGUCAUAUGACCAGGUGAAUACAUGUUUCUUACAUGUAAGG